UACGUAGGGACCGAGCGUUGUCCGGAUUCAUUGGGCGUAAAGAGCUCGUAGGCGGCCACUCAAGUCGAAUGUGAAACCUCGAGGCUCAACCUCGAGCCUGCAUUCGAUACUGGGCGGCUAGAGUCUGGUAGGGGGAUCUGGAAUUCCUGGUGUAGCGGUGAAAUGCGCAGAUAUCAGGAGGAACACCGGUGGCGAAGGCGGGUCUCUGGGCCGAUACUGACGCUGAGGAGCGAAAGUGUGGGGAGCGAACAGG
rnacentral:rRNA from 1 species